rnacentral:rRNA from 1 species
UGGGGAAUAUUGCACAAUGGGCGCAAGCCUGAUGCAGCAACGCCGCGUGAGGGAUGACGGCCUUCGGGUUGUAAACCUCUUUUAGCAGGGAAGAAGCGAAAGUGACGGUACCUGCAGAAAAAGCGCCGGCUAACUACGUGCCAGCAGCCGCGGUAAUACGUAGGGCGCAAGCGUUAUCCGGAAUUAUUGGGCGUAAAGAGCUCGUAGGCGGUUUGUCGCGUCUGCUGUGAAAUCCCGAGGCUCAACCUCGGGUCUGCAGUGGGUACGGGCAGACUAGAGUGCGGUAGGGGAGAUUGGAAUUCCUGGUGUAGCGGUGGAAUGCGCAGAUAUCAGGAGGAACACCGAUGGCGAAGGCAGAUCUCUGGGCCGUAACUGACGCUGAGGAGCGAAAGGGUGGGGAGCAAACAGGCUUAGAUACCCUGGUAGUCCACCCGUAAACGUUGGGAACUAGUUGUGGGUCCAUUCCACGGAUUCCGUGACGCAGCUAACGCAUUAAGUUCACCGCCUGGGGAGUACGGCCGCAAGGCUAAAACUCAAAUGAAUUGACGGGGUCAUAGCUGUUUCCU